UUUUCUUCUCAGCACAUGAUUGAGCCCUCAGUCCUUUACAUGGAGUGUGUCAGGCCACCCAUGUGCAGUGUGUGAAUCUGUGUGUGCAUUUGUGAAUCUGUGUGUGCAUUUGUGAAUCUGUGUGUGCGCAUGUGAAUCUGUGUUUGCAUAUGUGAAUCUGUGUGUGCGUAUGUGAAUCUGUGUGUGCGCAUGUGAAUCUGUGUGUGCGUUUGGGAAUCUGUGUGCGUAUGUGAAUCUGUGUGCGUUUGGGAAUCUGUGUGUGUUUGGGAAUCUGUGUGUGCGUUUGGGAAUCUGUGUGUGCGUUUGGGAAUCUGUGUGUGCGUUUGGGAAUCUGUGUGUGCGCGUUUAUGAUUGUAUGUGUGUGAGAGCUGCCUGCUGAGGAGAUGGAUAGAGCCCCUCUGACAUAUUGUCACUUCCUCUCCCUCCAUCUCCUAAUCUGACCUGUCUGUCAUUCAGAUUGCUUUUCACUGCAUUAACCAGAGAAGGGAGAGAGGAGAGAGACGUGAAAGCCGGACAGACAAUGUCCCUUCUCUUUAUGGACUCCAAUGAUGGGACGAGGGGGCGACGGUGAUGACACUCAUCCACUCUGCAAUCAGAGGCAUCGCUGCGCUGAAAGACAACCCUGAGAUUGAUGUCUGAGGUGAGGCACAUCAGCCCAGUCACAAGUCCUUCACAACCUUUUUUUUCUUAAAAUAAAACAAAUCUGUCUUUAAGCAUGUUGGAAAAGGACCCGUAAGUAAGUAAGCAUUUCACUGUUCGUCUACACCUGCUGUUUACCAAGCAGGUGACAAAGGACACUUCCUCAAUGGAGCGUAAAUACUGUAGCAGCCAUGCCAAGACAGUGAGAGCUAAAACAUCCUGAAACUCAGAGCCUGGUUCAGCUCACAUGGCAACAACACGUCAAACCUUAUAAAGUGUUAACAGAGAAGCCAAUGUACAGACCCAGGAGAAUCAUCCCUCUGCUCUUACUGUGUGUGCGUGCUUGCAUUUGUGUGUGCAAUUGUCUGUGUGUGUGUGAGUGUGUGUGUGUGUGUGUGUACGUGAUCUCUCAUACUCUCCCCCAGCCUCCAGCCUCUUUUUCUGGCUCUAAUAUAGCACCCUCUUCAGCUCAGAGCGGAGCUCCUCAUAUUUACGUGUGGGAUGAGAGUGGCAGGGGCUUCUCUAUUAGCCCUCAGGAUGAGCCAGUGCUAGCUAGCUCCCAGCUCCCAGCUCCCAGCUCCGAUCACAAGCAGCCAGGGUAUGAAAGAGAAAUCCCUUCAUCACCAAAGUCGUAAUGAAUUUGUAACGACCCCCAUUUAUUACAUUUAUUUUGCUGAAUUUCGAUGUUCAAACUUUAAGCAAACAGACAACAAGUGGGCCAAUGUUGUAGCUUAUAUUAGUGAUAUCCCAAAGUUGUUCUCGAUGGGUGCUUUUGAUAAUUUAUAUGUAAGAUAUGUGUGUGUCUUUGCGUGUGUGUGUGUGUGUGUGUGUGUGUGUGUGUGUGUGUGUGUGUGUGUGUGUGUGUUACCAUCCCUCCCAGAACUGGGCCCUUGAUCACAGGGCUGGCAGUCUUCAGACGUCAAGCAGCACCGAGUCUGCUGUGAAACGCAGUGUCAGAGGUCUUGAUGAAUACUCCUCGCUGCCUCCCCUUCAAAGCCCUAGCAAUCUGUCUGUAAACAUUGAUCCUCUUCCUCAUCCUGUCAGCGCGCAGCGACACCCCAAAGGCAAUAUUAGCU
ensembl:lncRNA